UACGUAGGGUGCAAGCGUUGUCCGGAAUUAUUGGGCGUAAAGAGCUCGUAGGCGGUCUGUCGCGUCUGCUGUGAAAACUCAGGGCUUAACCCUGAGCUUGCAGUGGGUACGGGCAGACUAGAGUGCGGUAGGGGAGACUGGAAUUCCAAGUGUAGCGGUGAAAUGCGUAGAUAUCGAGAGGAACACCUGCGGCGAAGGCGGGUUGCUGGGCUGAUACUGACGCUGAGGCGCGAAAGCCAGGGGAGCGAACGGG
rnacentral:rRNA from 1 species